ensembl:lncRNA
GUUCUUGAUUCCUGGAGGGCUUGCUAAAACACGGACUGCUCCUGGCCUCAGGCGAUGGAUCCUUCAGCCCCAACCUUCCACAGCGCUGGAUUACGGAUGAACAAGCAGAGGCAUGGAGAAGCAGAGUCAUGUGCCCCAGGUCACACAGCCAGGAAAUGGAACAAGCUGGCCACAGGUGUUGGGAGGAACAUGUUGACAAGCUGCCCAGGAUGCCCUGGAGGCCCCUUUGGGGAUCCCCAGAGGUGGAGUCUGACUGUGCUGCUUAGCCUGGUCUCCAACUCCUGGGCUCAAGUGAUCCUCCUGCCUUGGCCUCCCAGAGAGCAGGGAUUACAGGCAUGAGCUACUGCACCUGGCUUUUUUUUUUUUUUAUGUUUUAUAAAUGCAUAAAAUAAAAUGCAUGAUAUUACAAAGGAAACCAAUUAUACUGAAAUGCUGUUACUGCAAUAUCAACAAGCGUUUGUGAUGCAGUGAUGAGGUAAACUUCUUUAUUAGUACGUUAAAAAACAAGAUGGGGAAGCAGGUUGCAGGUCACCAUGAGUGUAAACAAUAUGUAAUGUUACCUGCAACCACUGUGAUAUGAAAUGAAAGUACCUUUGACUUCUGUUGUAACAGUCACUGCUAACCCUACCAU